rnacentral:piRNA from 1 species
UGGUGUCCUUCUCUUUGUUUUCGGACUAGU